rnacentral:rRNA from 1 species
ACGUAGGGGGCGAGCGUUGUCCGGAAUCACUGGGCGUAAAGCGCACGUAGGCGGGCUGUCAAGUCGGCCGUGAAAGGCACGGGCUCAACCUGUGCGUGGCGGUUGAUACUGGGGGUCUUGAGUGUGGUAGAGGGAGCUGGAAUUCCCGGUGUAGCGGUGAAAUGCGUAGAUAUCAGGAGGAACACCAGUGGCGAAGGCGGCGUCCUGGGCUAUAACUGACGCUGAGGUGCGAAAGCAGGGGGAGCGAACGG